CUGCCGCGGUACCUUGCCGCUGCAAGUCUUUUUGCUCUCCUCAAUGGACAAAGAAGGAAUGGCGCAGCUGCAUUUGAGUAUGAUGGGAGGAAGAGACCCAGGAGAAGACGAUGACGUCACCGCCACAGAGCGCCAAGAGGUUCAACAUGAAGCACCAAACAAAACACGCAUACAGUCUGCACCAAGACAAACCAGCUGUUAUGGUUGAAAUCUCUUUGUUGUGCUGUGACAUUCGGUCAAUACAAUACAGAAGAAAAUGUCCUGCAACAAUGACUCAUAGGAAGCAAAUUUGAUUCCCUUGAACAGGCACAGACCCAUGAGGUCCGCAAUGUAUCUUUAGCAUUAGUGCGCUCAAAAAGUAACAACAAAUUAACCCAAAUCAAUCAGCCAUAGUGCAAUUAACACGGAUGAUGAUGAUACACUUACUUAAAGGCAUACGUAUGCAAGUAAAUUUAACCCAUUCAAAGAGAAAAUACGAUUUAUAAUGAUGACAUCUAAUAUGCUGCUGUACUGAACUCAAAAGUGACAUUUGGUUCCUGCUUUGUCCUCCAAAUCCUCCAAACCUCCACCAAUGAUUCAAAAGUGAGAUUUUAGAUUUAACUACUAGUAACCACUUAUGUAAUCCCACAGAAAAAAAAAAUAAAAAUCUGUUGACUUAUUUACAAUGAUUAAUAAGGCAU